rnacentral:lncRNA from 1 species
CAUGCCCAGGGACACGCAGUGGCAUGGCUGCUCUGGGAAACAGUUUGAUGCUUUCUCUGAAAGUCCAACAGGGAUGUACCACACAGCUCAGCAAUUCCACCCCUGGCAUUUACAUAGAGAAAUGAAAACUUACGGUCCCACAGAAACGCGGGUUUGUAGCAGCUCUAUUCGUAAUCAUCAACAACUGGAAACAACCCACAUGGCCUUCAGUGACCGAAUGGAUAAACAAGCUGUUACACGUACCCCAGGGAAUACUGCUCUCCAAUAAAAAGGAGUGGACUCUUGAUACACACAGUGACUUGGAGGAAUCUCAAAGGCAUUCUGCUCAAUGACAGGAGCCAGCCUCAAAAGAUUUGGCUGACUGAGGACGCG